rnacentral:rRNA from 1 species
UGAGUAACACGUUGGAACCUGCCCCAAAGUGAGGAAUAAGCCACCGAAAGGUGGUCUAAUACUUCAUAAUAUCCAUCUCGUAUGGAUUAAAGCUUUAUGCGCUUUGGGAGGGGCCUGCGUAACAUUAGCUUGUUGGUGAGGUAAAAAGCUCACCAAGGCUUCGAUGUUUAACUGGUUUGAGAGGAUGACCAGUCACACUGGGACUGAGAUACGGCCCAGACUCCUACGGGAGGCAGCAGUAAGGAAUCUUCCACAAUGGGGCAACCCUGAUGGAGCAAUACCGCGUGCAGGAUGAAGCGUUUCGGCGUGUAAACUGCUUUUAUCACCGAAGAUUAUGACUGUAGGUGAAGAAUAAGGACCGGCUAACUACGUG